UACGGGGGGGGCAAGCGUUGUUCGGAAUUACUGGGCGUAAAGGGCGCGUAGGCGGCCUGCUAAGUCGAACGUGAAAUCCCUGGGCUCAACCCAGGAACUGCGUCCGAUACUGGUUGGCUUGAAUCCGGGAGAGGGAUGUGGAAUUCCAGGUGUAGCGGUGAAAUGCGUAGAUAUCUGGAGGAACACCGGUGGCGAAGGCGGCAUCCUGGACCGACACUGACGCUGAGGCGCGAAAGCUAGGGGAGCAAACGGG
rnacentral:rRNA from 1 species